rnacentral:rRNA from 1 species
GAUAUUUUAAGUAACGCUUUGUAGCUUAAUCCACAUAACAGAUACUACGUAUCGACUKUGUGCGCAUUUUGCUACUUAUGUGUUCUUUUAAUUAAAAUGAUUCUUUUUAAGAUCUUUCUUUUGCUUCGGCUUUAGAAGAUCUUGUAUACUUUGAGUAAAUUAGAGUGUUCAAAGCAAACAGAUAUAGCAUCUUUAUGCGUGUUGAAUACUACAGCAUGGAAUAACAAAAUUGAACAAGUCAGAAUUUUGUUCUUUUUUCUUAUUUUGGCUUAGUUACGAUUAAUAGGAGUAGCUUGGGGGCAUUUGUAUUCAGAUGUCAGAGGUGAAAUUCUUAGAUUUUCUGGAGACAAACAACUGCGAAAGCAUUUGCCUAAAAUACUUCCAUUAAUCAAGAACGAAAGUUAAGGGAGUGAAGACGAUCAGAUACCGUCGUAAUCUUAACCAUAAACUAUGCCGACUAGGCUUUGGAUGAAAGAUUUUAAAAUAAGAGUUUUUUCUCUGAGGAGUUAAAACUCUUAGAUUGCUUCCUUCAGUGCCUUAUGAGAAAUCAAAGUCUUUGGGUUCUGGGGCGAGUAUUCGCGCAAGCGAGAAAGUUAAAAGAAUUGACGGAAGGGCACCACCAGGCGUGGAGCUUGCGGCUUAAUUUGACUCAACACGGGAAAACUCACUAGUUUAAGACAAGAGUAGGAUUGACAGAUUAAUAGCUCUUUCUUGAUUUCUUGGAUGGUGAUGCAUGGCCGUUUUUAGUUCGUGAAUAUGAUUUGUCUGGUUAAUUCCGAUAMCGAACGAGAUCUURACCUGCUAAUUAGCGGCAAAUACGAUAUAUUCUUAUGUGGAAUUGAAUAUAGKUGAUUUGCUACUUUUGAAGAAAAUAUUGGGAUACGUAAAUGUAUCCCUUYCCCUUUUCYACUUAAGUASCUUAUCAUACUAUUUCUUUUUCGCGUAAGAAUGUAUUUGCUUGAUUGUAAAGCUUCUUAGAGGAACGAUGU